GAUGAACGCUGGCGGCGUGCUUAACACAUGCAAGUCGAGCGAGAAGUUCUUUUUAGAUCCCUUCGGGGUGACAAGAUGAACGGAGAGCGGCGGACGGGUGAGUAACGCGUGGGAAACCUGCCUUGAACAAGAGGAUAGCCUCGGGAAACUGGGAUUAAUACUCUAUAAUACUUUAGUGCCUCAUGGCACAUAAGUCAAAACUCAGGUGGUUCAAGAUGGUCCCGCGUCCCAUUAGCUAGUUGGUGAGAUAAAAGACUCACCAAGGCGACGAUGGGUAGCCGGCCUUAGAGGGUGAACGGCCACACUGGAACUGAGACACGGUCCAG
rnacentral:rRNA from 1 species